UACGAAGGGGGCUAGCGUUGCUCGGAAUCACUGGGCGUAAAGCGCACGUAGGCGGCUUUUUUAAGUCAGGGGUGAAAUCCUGGGAGCUCAACUCCAGAACUGCCUUUGAUACUGAGAAGCUUGAGUCCGGGAGAGGUGAGUGGAACUGCGAGUGUAGAGGUGAAAUUCGUAGAUAUUCGCAAGAACACCAGUGGCGAAGGCGGACUCACUG
rnacentral:rRNA from 1 species